rnacentral:rRNA from 1 species
UACGGAGGGUGCAAGCGUUAAUCGGAAUUACUGGGCGUAAAGGGUGUGUAGGCGGUUCUUUAAGUUUGCUGUGAAAUCUCCCGGCUUAACCGGGAGGGUGCGGUGAAUACUGAGGGACUAGAGUACGGGAGAGGAAAGUGGAAUUCCUGGUGUAGCGGUGAAAUGCGUAGAGAUCAUGAGGAAGACCAGUGGCGAAGGCGGGUCUCUGGACAGUUCCUGACACUGAGACACGAAGGCCAGGGGAGCAAACGGG